rnacentral:tRNA from 1 species
AGGGGCGUAGUACAACGGCUAGUAUAGCGGUCUCCAAAACCGCCGGUCUAGGUUCGAUUCCUAGCGCCCCUGCCA